rnacentral:rRNA from 1 species
GACGAACGCUGGCGGCGUGCUUAACACAUGCAAGUCGAGCGGUAAGGCCCUUUCGGGGGUACGACGAGCGGCGAACGGGUGAGUAACACGUGGGUGACCUGCCCUCAGCUCUGGGAUAAGCCUGGGAAACUGGGUCUAAUACUGGAUAUGACUCCACGGUGCAUGUCGUGGGGUGGAAAGCCUUGUGCGGCUGAGGAUGGGCCCGCGGCCUAUCAGCUUGUUGGUGGGGUGAUGGCCUACCAAGGCGACGACGGGUAGCCGGCCUGAGAGGGCGACCGGCCACACUGGGACUGAGACACGGCCCAGACUCCUACGGGAGGCAGCAGUGAGGAAUCUUGCGCAAUGGGCGAAAGCCUGGCGCAGCGACGCCG